rnacentral:tRNA from 1 species
GCCGUGGGGCGGGAUGUCGCAGCUUCCCAAGCUGGACGUCGCCGGUUCGAAUCCGGUCCGCCGCUCCA